GGGGAUUUAGCUCAGCUGCAUAAGCGCCUGCCUUGAAAGCAGGCAGUCGUGAGUUCAAUUCCUG
rnacentral:tRNA from 1 species